CUUGGGGGGUCAUUUUAGAUCUAAAUCAUAACAUGCAUGUACAUUAAAACAGAGGAACAAAUAGACAAAAUGAAGAGAGAUGUCUGGAAAAGCUUUGGGGAGAAGUUAGAAUUUGAGCUGCACUUGAGAAUAUAUGUGGUUUUUAAGGAAACAUGGAUGAAAAGGUUGCUUGCUUUUGUAUUGUGUAAAUAUAUGAAAUUAAUAGGAAAAGUCUCUACAGAGAAGAGGGAGAAAAAAACAGAAGAAGAAAAACUGGCCUUAGGGGUUCAGAGGCCCACAAGAAGAUGUAAUGGACAUAGUGCCCAAACUUUAUGCCAGCUGUGGAAGAAGAAUUUUCAUGAAGCCUUCUUAAUCUCUUCUAAGAGAGAAAAACUCCAACAGACCAACAGGGGACAGAACUUCAAGGACAGAGAUAAGGAAGUGAGAUCCAGAAAGCACAUGCCUCUUGGUGGCUACAGCAGAGACUAUAGCUACAGCUUCAGCCUGGCUCUGUCUAAAUCCGUGAUUCUUUAAUGCUUCAUUUAUUUGUUAUGCACCUAAACCAUUAUCCAGGCCCCACGGUAAAUGCCUUGAAUGUACCAUCACAUAAAAUUCUGGAUUUAGGUAAUAUGUUCUUUCAUUAUCUCAAUUUUACAGAUAAGGAAAGAAUCUCAGAAGGCUUAGCUGGAAACUUGUCAAAGCCCAUGGGUAGAAAAUGGUGGUACAGAUAUUCAAACACAGGUACUUUGAUUUCUAGGAUGCAAAUCUUAAACCAGGAGGAUGUUAGCACUUUCCAUGGUAAUGCUUGGAGGUGAUUUUAACUGCAUGGUGUAGGACCUAUGAGGUCUUACUUCCCCUGUCAGGGUUUAACUUGAGUGACCAAUUACAUGGCCACUGAAGCUGCUCAGAGAGGUGCAUUCCACAGUGGCAGCUCUGCCCGCUGAAUCUUUGGCUGCAGAGGAUCCUCCUUCCUUCAGCUCUGCAAAGAAGCAGCAAUUUCCUCAACUUCCAGCUGCAGGCUUCUGCAGUGGAGCUUGUGAUAAAGUUCUCUAGCAAUGUGUCAGUACAAUUUAGUUGCACAUGUCAUUGUAGCUUUUGAUGCUCAGUGUGGCCUGCAGGGAAAAUAAUAUCUCACUCACACAGGGUGAAAUCUGCUAAUAACAGCCUAAGAUGCUAACUGCAGGAGUUGCUGCUCAUUUGUAUCCACCAACUGAAUUUGGGGUGCAGAGUCCUUGCAUCCUGCAUUACUUGGCAAUGCAGGAUGCAGGGAGCAGAUUUAACAGCAAGAUGGCCACGUCAAGAGAUCCUAUGACUCAAAGCUCAUGAGAAUGAUGUCUAGGGUCUUCAGCACCCAUAUACCAUAGCAAGCUUCAGAAGACAGUGGGGACUUGCACUCUUAUUGCAGAACCGAAAAGAGGAUGGCCCUGGAAACAGCACCAUCAUCAGCAUUAUUAAUGCCACCAGGAAAGUGUUAACCCUGGCUAUGCUUUGCCAGGAUGUUUUCCAACAACUUCAUUCAUAUAGUCAGUGGCUACCUCCAGGUCUGUGAUGAACAAGGGGUUAGUCCUCUGCUUUGACCCUGCAGUAUGAUAAUGGUGAUGUGAUUUUAAGUUGCACAAGAUGAAUUAUGCAAUUAUUAGUCUUCUUCGGGAAAUGCUAUUGUGUAGAAGUGUUGGAGUCUAAGUUGUAAGUGGUUGCACUAGGAUAUUUAAUAUGGGAAUUGACAUGUAUAUUUAAUAUUUUGUGAGAUGGAAUUUGUGAGGUGGUGCUGUUAUAUAUCCUGUUAAUCUUUGGG
ensembl:lincRNA